GACGAACGCUGGCGGCAGGCCUAACACAUGCAAGUCGAGCGGGGUUUUCGGACCUAGCGGCGGACGGGUGAGUAAUGCGUAGGAAGCUGCCCGAUAGAGGGGGAUACCAGUUGGAAACGACUGUUAAUACCGCAUAAUGUCUACGGACCAAAGUGUGGGACAUUCGGGCCACAUGCUAUAGGAUGCGCCUACGUGGGAUUAGCUAGUUGGUGAGGUAAUGGCUCACCAAGGCGACGAUCUCUAGCUGGUUUGAGAGGAUGAUCAGCCACACUGGAACUGAGACACGGUCCAGACUCCUACGGGAGGCAGCAGUGGGGAAUAUUGGACAAUGGGCGCAAGCCUGAUCCAGCCAUGCCGCGUGUGUGAAGAAGGCCUUCGGGUUGUAAAGCACUUUCAGCGAGGAGGAAGGGUGGUGUGUUAAUAGCACAUCAUUUUGACGUUACUCGCAGAAGAAGCACCGGCUAACUCUGUGCCAGCCGCCGCAGUAAAAC
rnacentral:rRNA from 1 species